rnacentral:sRNA from 22 species
GAUGAAACAAAUCCGAAUAUCUUUAUGGUAGUGGGGGAACCAAUUUCAGGGGUGAAUCUUAGUAUUUUAAGAGGGGCAGCUUGGGAGCCCUAAUCCGUCAGCUAAUCCCAUAGGAGAAUACCAAGCGAAUGA